rnacentral:rRNA from 1 species
GAUGAACGCUGGCGGCGUGCUUAACACAUGCAAGUCAAACGGAAAGGCUCCUGCUUGCAGGGGUACUCGAGUGGCGAACGGGUGAGUAACACGUGGGUGAUCUGCCCUGCACUUCGGGAUAAGCCUGGGAAACUGGGUCUAAUACCGGAUAGGACCACAUUUUGGAUGGUGUGGUGGAAAGUUUUUCGGUGUGGGAUGAGCUCGCGGCCUAUCAGCUUGUUGGUGGGGUAAUGGCCUACCAAGGCGUCGACGGGUAGCCGGCCUGAGAGGGUGUACGGCCACAUUGGGACUGAGAUACGGCCCAGACUCCUACGGGAGGCAGCAGUGGGGAAUAUUGCACAAUGGGCGCAAGCCUGAUGCAGCGACGCCGCGUGGGGGAUGACGGCCUUCGGGUUGUAAACUCCUUUCGCUAGGGACGAAGCGCAAGUGACGGUACCUGGAGAAGAAGCACCGGCUAACUACGUG